rnacentral:lncRNA from 1 species
GCCCUUCACUCUCUGAGCUUCCAGAGAGAUCUUAGCAUUGUGCAUUCCUCUGAACAGGGCUGAUGCUGGGCAAUCCGAGGAAAGCUUGUUGUUAGCACAUCUACUCUGUUUCCUUAUGGUCUCUGGGUGUAGUCCUCCAACUAGCCAUGGCCUGUCACACCAGGCUCCUCUCCUGCCCCUGUUCCACACUCCAUCUCAGCGGUCCCUCCAGUGGAAGCUCAUGAAGAUAAUUUGUUGGAAUAAGAAGAAGAAAAUAAACAAACAGAUGCUAUCUGCAAGGCCCACAGCACAUCUGCGUGGAUGAAGCAGCAGCACUCAAGUGUCCUGGGAAAGGAGUGAUUUGCAUGUUUGCUAUCUGGUGUGCAGGAGCUCACACAUUCUUUUCAGAUAACACUGCAAUGGCAACGUUCGGAGAUUCAAGUUCUUCAAGUUCACCUUCAGUCCCCGUGCUAGAGAAAUAUUCAUGCUUUUAAAAAUAAAAUAAAAAGAAAGAAUUGCUGGCUGAAGGGCUUCUUCCCUCCCUGUCACUCCACUUCCUCAAGCUUUCACAUUUCAGUGUUGUCAAGUUAUCAUGUAUUAGCUAAUCAAAACAAAGGGAAUAUGAGAAAUGACUAAAAGUUUCAUGACAAGUAUGAAAACUGCCUGAAGGAUG